UAUAACAGCUAUAAUUUACUUGAUCUUGACACAAUCCUACUUGGAUAACUGUGGUAAUUCUAGAGCUAAUACAUGCAUUAAAGCUCCGACCGCGCGUCAAAAACGCGGGAAGAGUGCACUUAUUAGAACAAAACCAAGCGGCUUCGGCUGUUUUUCGGUUGACUCAUAGUAACUGAGCUGAUCGCAUGGUCUUGCACCGGCGACGUGUCUUUCAAGUAUCUGCCGUAUCAACUUUCGAUGGUAGUGUAUCUGACUACCAUGGUGAUCACGCGUAACGGAGAAUAAGGGUUCGGCUCCGGAGAGUUCGCCUGAGAAAUCGCGAACACAUCUAAGGAAGGCAGCAGGCGCGAAAAUUACCCACUCUCAGCACGAGGAGGUAGUGACGAAAAAUAACGAGACCGUUCUCUUUCGAGGCCGGUCAUCGGAAUGGGUACAAUUUAAACCCUUUAACGAGUAUCUAUGAGAGGGCAAGUCUGGUGCCAGCAGCCGCGGUAAUUCCAGCUCUCAAAGUGCAUAGAAUUAUUGCUGCGGUUAAAAAGCUCGUAGUUGGAUCUGUGCCAUAGGCCGGGGUCCACCUUCACAGGUGCGUACUCUUGUUUGCCUAGGCUUUUUGUCGGUUUUCCCGUCGUCGGCCUUCGUUGGUUAGCGGCGGGUGGCUGGCGAGUUUACUUUGAGAAAAUCAGAGUGCUCAAUACAGGCGUUUUGCUUGAAUGAUUGUGCAUGGAAUAAUAGAAAAGGAUUUCGGUCCUCUUUUAUUGGUUUUGUGGACUGAGAUAAUGGUUAACAGGGACAAACGGGGGCAUUCGUAUCGCUGCGUGAGAGGUGAAAUUCUUGGACCGUAGCGAGACGCCCUACUGCG
rnacentral:rRNA from 1 species